UAGGAGGGUUAGUUCUACAAAAGGAAUUAUCUUUGGCAUUUGUUAUUUUAAUCUAUUCUAAUUUUACAAUCUUGUUAUCAAAUGAACACCUUUGUUUUUCUGACUGCCCAAACCAAUUUCACUGAAUGCCAAUACCAAGAUCUGAACACAAGAUUAUAAAAAACAGGAAAUAAAGAAAAACAUAAAUCCACACAAUUACAAGGAGAAGCCUAUUCUGGGAAUAGUCUCCUGUAAAAUUUCCCAUUUUUAUUAAGAUUUCCAUCUCGAGAACGGAUUUGUGUUGUGUGGUUUUCAGUUCUUGUUACCAUCAUUGUCAUAACAGAGGAUGAGCCUAAUUGCAAUGCCUGGGAUGGUCUGUCACUGGUAAUACUGCUCUGACCUUGUGUUAUUCCAGAACCACAAGGAGGCACACAGCUGCUGACCAGAGGAGAUGAAGUACUCUGGAGAGCCGAGGGGUCAUCAGGGCCCAAGUGGCUGCACGAUUUCGCACUGGGGAUUCUAUUCAGCCGUCUAAAUUGCAGCAGGUCCACCUGUCCAAAGAGCAUUAUGGCACACAGCUAUAUGACAUCACUCAGCAUAGCAAAAGUCUUUUUUAGAUUGUUCCAGCCUCUAAGUAAAAAAAGUUAAAAUCCCUGAAGUAGCCACAAGGUUGCAUGUAUCUAUGAGCACAAGCAAAUCAAAUUAGACCAGUGGGUGUUUCUGCUCCAUUUGCUGUGGCUGCUCCUGUAGUUCUUCCAGAGCUGUUUUAGCAGGACCGACACUACUUCGCUACAAGACGGUGCUAAACAGAGUUGAGUAUGGUGGAACCAAGCGCAGUGAUUGUGCUGUUGGUCAGAAGCUGAUCCGGCAAUGCACUGGCCCUUUACAUCGAUUUCAAAAUGAAAGAGCAGCAAGAAUGCGAGCAAAUGGUUUUCUCCUCUUAUCAACACACAGCUUUGCAAAUGAAAGGAAGGGAAUGGAGGACAAAGCAUCAUCAUCUUCAAGGUGGUAUCAAGAUGGCACCGUAUGAAAGGAGUCAAUUGCCUGUGACUGCAGUAAGAGUGCCCCAGGCAAAGAAAGAAAAAAAGAAAAAAGAAAAAAAUCAAACAGCAGCAGCAAAAAUACAAACAAUAUACAACACAAAAGCAAAAGCAAAAAUUCCAGUUUUAAUUCAGAACUGCUAUUUUCCAGCUCCCACGGAAGUCAAGAAGUCACUUUCAUUAUAAGAAUUUUCCUUAUACUUUUAUGAAUAAAGACUUUGUGAUUUACAGUACUUCAAAUGCCAUUUAAAUUCUUUCAAGAUUGAUGUUUGCUUUAUUUGUCAGUGUUUCUUAAAACAGGGCUGUGGCCGUGCUGUUUUUAGACUUUAUUUUGUUUUUUAGGAGUGUUUUGUUUUAACUAAUGUAGAUAUUCUGCCUUCUGAAUGGGCUGUGACACUUACGGGCUGGUAGCUGUUAACAAUUAACUGGCAAAGGAGGAGUGAAUCGGGCAUUCAGAUGAUCCUGAGUUGAAGUCCUUGGAUGGACUUCACACUGCAGAUCUAG
rnacentral:lncRNA from 1 species